UACGUAGGGAGCAAGCGUUGUCCGGAAUCAUUGGGCGUAAAGCGCGCGUAGGCGGCCCUGUAAGUCCGUUGUGAAAGUCAAAGGCUCAACCUUUGAAAGCCGAUGGAUACUGCAGGGCUAGAGUCCGGAAGAGGCGAGUGGAAUUCCUGGUGUAGCGGUGGAAUGCGCAGAUAUCAGGAGGAACACCAAUAGCGAAGGCAGCUCGCUGGGACG
rnacentral:rRNA from 1 species